rnacentral:rRNA from 1 species
CCAGACUCCUACGGGAGGCAGCAGUGGGGAAUAUUGCACAAUGGGGGAAACCCUGAUGCAGCGACGCCGCGUGAGCGAUGAAGUAUUUCGGUAUGUAAAGCUCUAUCAGCAGGGAAGAAAAUGACGGUACCUGACUAAGAAGCCCCGGCUGACUACGUGCCAGCAGCCGCGGUAAUACGUAGGGGGCAAGCGUUAUCCGGAUUUACUGGGUGUAAAGGGAGCGUAGACGGCAUGGCAAGUCUGAUGUGAAAACCCGGGGCUCAACCCCGGGACUGCAUUGGAAACUGUCAGGCUGGAGUGUCGGAGAGGCAAGUGGAAUUCCUAGUGUAGCGGUGAAAUGCGUAGAUAUUAGGAGGAACACCAGUGGCGAAGGCGGCUUGCUGGACGAUGACUGACGUUGAGGCUCGAAAGCGUGGGGAGCAAACAGGAUUAGAUACCCCGGUA